rnacentral:rRNA from 1 species
AUUGAACGCUGGCGGCAGGCCUAACACAUGCAAGUCGAGCGGAUGACGGGAGCUUGCUCCUUGAUUCAGCGGCGGACGGGUGAGUAAUGCCUAGGAAUCUGCCUGGUAGUGGGGGACAACGUUUCGAAAGGAACGCUAAUACCGCAUACGUCCUACGGGAGAAAGCAGGGGACCUUCGGGCCUUGCGCUAUCAGAUGAGCCUAGGCCGGAUUAGCUAGUUGGUGGGGUAAUGGCUCACCAAGGCGACGAUCCGUAACUGGUCUGAGAGGAUGAUCAGUCACACUGGAACUGAGACACGGUCCAGACUCCUACGGGAGGCAGCAGUGGGGAAUAUUGGACAAUGGGCGAAAGCCUGAUCCAGCCAUGCCGCGUGUGUGAAGAAGGUCUUCGGAUUGUAAAGCACUUUAAGUUGGGAGGAAGGGCAGUAAGUUAAUACCUUGCUGUUUUGACGUUACCGACAGAAUAAGCACCGGUUAACUCUGUGCCAGCCGCCGCCGUAA